GCGCCCCGCGCCCGUCCCGCCGCCCCCGCCCGCCUACGGGAGGCAGCAGUGGGGAAUAUUGGACAAUGGGCGAAAGCCUGAUCCAGCCAUGCCGCGUGUGUGAAGAAGGCCUUCGGGUUGUAAAGCACUUUCAGUGGGGAAGAAAGCCUUGGGGCUAAUACCCUCGAGGAAGGACAUCACCCACAGAAGAAGCACCGGCUAACUCCGUGCCAGCAGCCGCGGUAAUACGGAGGGUGCGAGCGUUAAUCGGAAUUACUGGGCGUAAAGCGCGCGUAGGCGGUCUGAUAAGCCGGUUGUGAAAGCCCCGGGCUCAACCUGGGAACGGCAUCCGGAACUGUCAGGCUAGAGUGCAGGAGAGGAAGGUAGAAUUCCCGGUGUAGCGGUGAAAUGCGUAGAGAUCGGGAGGAAUACCAGUGGCGAAGGCGGCCUUCUGGACUGACACUGACGCUGAGGUGCGAAAGCGUGGGUAGCAAACAGGAUUAGAUACCCUGGUAGUCCACGCCGUAAACGAUGUCGACUAGCCGUUGGGCUCCUUGAGAGCUUUGUGGCGCAGUUAACGCGAUAA
rnacentral:rRNA from 1 species